rnacentral:rRNA from 1 species
AGCAGGCGCGUAAAUUGCCCGAAUCCUGACACAGGGAGGUAGUGACAAGAAAUAACAAUACAGGGCUACUUCUAGUCUUGUAAUUGGAAUGAGUACAACUUACAUCUCUUCACGAGGAUCAAUUGGAGGGCAAGUCUGGUGCCAGCAGCCGCGGUAAUUCCAGCUCCAAUAGCGUAUAUUAAAGUUGUUGCAGUUAAAAAGCUCGUAGUCGGAUUUCGGGUCGGGCCGAGCGGUCUGCCGAUGGGUAUGCACUGUUUGGCGCGGCCUUCUUUCCGGAGACCGCGGCUACUCUUAACUGAGCGGGCGUGGGAGACGGAUCGUUUACUUUGAAAAAAUCAGAGUGUUUCUAGCAGGCAGCUCGCUCUUGCAUAGGUUAGCAUGGGAUAAUUUAAUAGGACUCUGGUGCUAUUUUGUUGGUUUCGAACACCGGAGUAAUGAUUAAAAGGGGCAGUCAGGGGCACUCGUAUUCCGUCGAGAGAGGUGAAAUUCUCAGACCAAUGGAAGACGAACCACUGCGAAAGCAUUUGCCAGGGAUGUUUUCACUGAUCAAGAAUGAAAGCUAGGGGAUCGAAGACGAUCAGAUACCGUCGUAGUCUUAACCAUAAACCAUGCCGACUAGGGAUUGGAGGGUGUUCGUUUCGACCUCUUCAGCACCUUACGGGAAACUAAAGUCUUUGGGUUCCGGGGGGAGUAUGGUCGCAAGGCUGAAACUUAAAGGAAUUGACGGAAGGGCACCACCAGGAGUGGAGCCUGCGGCUUAAUUUGACUCAACACGGGGAAACUUACCAGGUCCAGACAUUGUUAGGAUUGACAGAUUGAGAGCUCUUUCUUGAUUCGAUGGGUGGUGGUGCAUAGCCGUUCUUAGUUGGUGGAGUGAUUUGUCUGGUUAAUUCCGUUAACGAACGAGACCGUAGCCUGCUAAAUAGUUCCGCGAACUUCUUGUUGGCGGUCGACU